GGUAUUCGUUGGCGUAUUUGUAGACCUUGGGGAGCCCGAGGCGUAGAUUGGAAAUUUACUUUAGAUUGGCUAUUUUGGAAGUGCGUAAGAGGUACAGACGCACAGCCUGGUGAUCCACCUGUUUAGGACACCCUUUCUGCUAUUCGGAGUGCUCCUCUCUUUCCGGAGCUUAUACUUUUGGUAUAUAUAUUUUUAUUAGUGCAUUUGUAUAUAUUCGUUCAUGGGUACGGCGGGGGCCCUGUCCCGUCAUAUGAUUCUGUCGGUCUGUUUAGAGGUCUGUGGACAUGUUUGUGGGUUAGGGUCUUUCUGUAUGGAUGUAUGUACAUGUCGUUUGGGCGAUCCCAUACGCCGAGGCGGCCGGUCCGCAUAUGUUGUUUGGGCGAUCCUAUACGCCGAGGCGGCCGGUCCGCAUAUGUUUAUAUAUUGCUUGGUUAGCCCUG